AUCGUUUUUUUCUUUCGUAUCUGUAUUGAGAAAAGAAAAGAAGACCUUCUUCAUCUCAAUUCAGAAUUUGGGGACUUCCUUGAAAGCAUCUCCUUCGUUCUCCUCGAUUAACUUAUCAUAUCACCGAAAGAAAAAUACAGCAAAACGAAGAUUUGGGUUUCUUUUUUCCCCUUGCGAAUAUCCAUGACAAAGGUGGUAGCAGAUGAAUUAGAAAAAACGACGAAACUUCAAAGAGACUUCCCAAGAUUGAACUAAAGCUUCAGGCCACAGAUCAGAUUUCCAGAUGAUGCUGUGAUAAUUUCAUUCCCUAUUCCAGGGCACACUGAUUUAAUCCCCUCGGCAUCACCGUGGAAAAGAUUGUGGCGGCGUUUGAGGCAAAGGGAGGUUGGGAUGGUACAAUGGGAGACCAUAAGACUGACAUUUCUGCCGUGAGUGUGGAGGUUCCCUCUGAUCGCAGGUUGGUUGCAAAGAAUGGGGUUGGCCUACUUAGGGAAGCGACAUCAUCAUAUUGUGGAUCGAAGUUAUUGUACCGAGAUGAUGUUGACAGUGGUGGUGUUAUUCCAGUAACCCUAGACAGCAUUGGGAUAUAGUACUAUUUAGUUUGGGUGGAGGAUUACCAACAUUUUCCAAAAAUGGAUUCAGGCUUGCGUUUCUUGGCAAGGGCUUGAAGAUGUUUGGGUACUGCAAAUAGAAGAUAAGGUAUAUAAGAGGGAGUAUGGUGUAUGUAUCAAUGAUUUACAUCAUUGUUUGCUGAUAUACAAGUUUCUUUUUAGCUAUCUAGCUAGAGACCUGGUCUUCUCGCCAGUGAAGGGCCAAAAAACUUCCAUUUAAUGUAUUCAAAGGAAGACGACUACUCCAACAGCUCGCGUAUGGGUUUAAUAAUGCCUUACCAUCCAGUAGUCCUAUUGAGUCCAUUUAUCAAGUAAAUCAAUCACUUUAAUAUAUGUUAAUUUUGGUAGAAUUACCAUCAACUGCAUUUUAUCGGAAGUUAGAUAUGUAUAUUUUAAUAACAGAAUGAAUGGCAGGCGCAUCGCGCGUGCGUGUUAUACUAGUAUAUGCAAUAAAAAUGGGUUGAAUCACCAGUUACUCAA